UACGAAGGGGGCUAGCGUUGCUCGGAAUCACUGGGCGUAAAGCGCACGUAGGCGGCUUUUUAAGUCAGGGGUGAAAUCCUGGAGCUCAACUCCAGAACUGCCUUUGAUACUGAGAAGCUUGAGUCCGGAAGAGGUGAGUGGAACUCCGAGUGUAGUGGUGAAAUGCGUAGAGAUGCGGAGGAAUACCAGUGGCGAAGGCGGCCUUCUGGGACUCAACUGACGCUGAAGCGCGAAAGCAUGGGGAGCGAACGGG
rnacentral:rRNA from 1 species